AUGAUGAUGGAAUUAGGCCUUCGUGAGGAGGAUCUGGAUGAUGUCGUUUUCGAUGAGAAGGAAGUGCCGCCGGAGUCACCACGGUGGGUCGCGCUGAUCAAGGUCAAUACCAACAAGAGCUACAGCCAGACGUGGUUCUAUCGGAAUAUGCGAUCUGCUUGGGCUGUGGCACAGGAAGCGAAAUUCAAGCCUUUGGAGGAGAAUCUGUAUACUGUUCAGUUUACUUGUUUGGGAGAUUGGGAGCGAGUAAUGCAGGAGGGGCCAUGGAAUUUCAGGGGGGAUGCGGUGCUUAUGGCACCAUACGAUGGAAUCUCGAAGCCAUCUACGGUCAAUCUGGAGACCAUUGACAUAUGGAUUCAGAUCCACGACGUGCCAGAUUUAUAUGCUCAUCUAGUCAGGCCUCUGGCAACUAAGGCGGGCGAACUUUUGUUUGUUGAAACUCAAUCCCAUGACUUCACAGGGAAUUUCUACCGCGUCUGGGUGUGCAUCAAUGUCCACAAACCACUGAAGAACGCGGUUUCAAUGAUCAGAGAAGGACAGAGGCAGAUUUACAAAGUCAAGUACGAGAGAUUGCCCGACUGGUGUGCCAUCUGUGGGAUGAUGGGACAUCUUUUCAAAGAGCAUGGCAAUGGGAUUCAUCCCCCCUCUGCAUUAGUCUUCAAGGAGCUUCAGGCUGAAUGGUUUAUGAACAACAGAAGAGGCCCUGGCGAAGGACGGGCACGUCGAAGGGGCCAUCGUGGCGACCGCUCUGGAGGAAUUUCAAGGAGCGGGGCUGAUAGCGGUCUAGCUACCACCCAACGUCCGGAUGGUACUCAGGAAGAAGACGCAGAGGUGGCAGAGAAGAUAGACGUGGACAUGCUUGAUUCAAGUAGAAAGAGGAUGAACCCCGUUUUUGCUAAUAAUACUGAUAAAUCAAUUGGGCGAGUAGUUGAUGCAAUGGCCAACAGCGCCAAGACGGUGCCCGGGCUGGAGUUAGCGGUUGUUCACCAGAACUCUACUCCCAUAAGCCCCCCACCAAAGAGGGAAUUGAAGAGGAACAAGACAGAAGAGGAUGGCAGGAUCGUCAACCCGGCGGGAAAUAAUAGAGUCUAG
rnacentral:rRNA from 1 species